AGCAGCCGCGGUAAUUCCAGCUCCAAUAGCGUAUAUUAAAGUUGUUGCAGUUAAAAAGCUCGUAGUUGAAUUUCAGGGGUAGCAGGUCGGUCGUGCCAUCGGUAUGAACUGGUCUCGCUGAUCCCUCCCUCUUGACGAACUGUGAUGCCAUUAAUUUGGUGUCGCAGGGAAUCAGGACUGUUACUUUGAAAAAAUUAGAGUGUUUAAAGCAGGCUCACGCUUGAAUACAUUAGCAUGGAAUAAUGAAGUAGGACGUUUGAUCCUAUUUUGGUUGGCUUCUAGGAUUGACGUAAUGAUUAAUAGGGAUAGUUGGGGGCAUUAGUAUUCAAUUGUCAGAGGUGAAAUUCUUGGAUUUAUUGAAGACUAACUACUGCGAAAGCAUUUGCCAAGGAUGUUUUCAUUAAUCAAGAACGAAAGUUAGGGGAUCGAAGACGAUCAGAUACCGUCGUAGUCUUAACCAUAAACUAUGCCGACUAGGGAUCGGAUGAUGUUAAUUUUUUAAUGACCCA
rnacentral:rRNA from 1 species